CCAAAAAUUUUCCAAGACUGCCUUUUUUAAAAGAAAGUUUUUAUUUAAUAAUUAUGAAUUUCAUAGGUAUAGUUUUUGGAUUAUAGCAGUUCUUCUGCCCAUGGCUGCCCUCUCACCUCAACUCAUAGCCCACCUCCUACUCCCUCUCCCAUCCCAUUCUUCAUUAAGAUUGAUUUUUAAUUAUCUUUAUACAAAAAAAGAUCAACUCUAGACUAAGCAAAGAUUUCAACAGUUUGCACCCACACAGACACACAAAGUAUAAAGUACUGUUUAAAGACUAGUUUUCCAUUAAUUCUCAUAGUACAACUCAUUGAGGACAAAUGUCCUACUUGGGGAGCAAGUGUACAGUGACUCCUCUUGUUGAUUUAACAAUUGAUGCUCUUACUUAUGAUGUCAGUGAUCACCUGAGGCUCUUGUCAUGAACUGCCAAGGCUAUGUAAGCCUCUUGAGUCCACAGACUCCAACAUUAUUUGCAUUUUAAGGUGAUUACAUUAACAGAGAAUAUUGGUGAAUGAUUAACUUACUUUUGGCAAUGAGUGAGUGACCUACUUGAUGGGAAUAUUAUCAGAAAAUAUCUACUUUUAAUGAGCUUCAUUUACCUAAAAUUGGAAGUUUUAUGACUUGUUGGAACCAUCUCUCAUGGAGUAAGUAAAUUCAUUUACAGUACACAUUUUCAGAUAACUCUGAGGUUGAUAUUUAUGGAUAAUUGUAGAAGUACAACUGAAAGACUGUUAAAAUUGUGCUCAGAAGUUUGAUAUUAGGAUAUAUAAAUUGCCCUUGAUUCAUGAGCUAGAGUAAAAUCAUGGAUAGUAUGAUAUUUGGUUUCUAUAUUCAGAAUUUCUGUUGGCCUCAAUAUAUUCAUUAAAGGUAGAGUUUAAUUAUGAAUGAUGGCUGUUUCACUGAUAGAGAUAACUUGAAAAUUUAGCCAAAGGAUAUUAAUGCUUCAUGUAUGAAAAAUUCUCAAAAGAAAAUACUUUAAACAUGUUCCAUUCUUGUGUAUGUUCUCAGACUUGAUAAAAUUUCCUCUGUGAUAGAAAUCCAAGAUUCAAUAAUUUGCUUAGCAUUGAAACUUGGAAGUUGAAUAAAUUGAUAGAUAAACACCAUUAAAUGUCAAUCUGUAUGUCAGCAUACCAAAAUUAUGUGACUACAUUAGAUGAAGUAUAAUACAGAAUGAAUAUGUAUUUUAGUAAGUAUAAUGCAGAAUGACAUCAAUUGUUCUUAAUAUCACCUUGAUGAUUCUUAGGUUCCCUAAAUUGCACAAUGUGCAUCUCAAUAUAAAUUUUUAUUUUUAAAAAAUGAUUUACUUAUUUGAAAAGCAAAGUGACAGAGAGAGAGUGAGAGAAACAGAGAAAGACAUAUUCUUUCUGUUAAUUCACACCCUCAGAUAACCUCAUUAAUCUUAGUUGGGCCAGAUAGAAGCUAGAAGCCUAGAACCCCAUCUGGGUCUCCCACGAGGGUGACAGGUGCACAAACACUUUGGCUAUUGUUUACUGCUUUCCCAGCAUAUUAGCAGGGAGCUGCCUCUGAAGCAGAGCAACUGGGACACGAACAGGAGCUCUGAUAUGGGAUGUUAGCAUUGCAACUGGCACUUAACCCACUGCACAACAAUGCUGGCCACCAAUUUUUUUCUUUUUAAUGAAUGAAUGACCUAUUUGAGGACUUAUCAUGGAAAAAUGGGCACUUUCUCCUGAGUAUUCAUUUAAAUAAUGUUCAGAUAUUUUUGACUCAUGAUUGCUGUCUCAGCAGUACUAUAUUCUUUAAGUCUAACUAUUGGUUAUUGGUAUAUUAUAUUAUAUUGGUAUAUAUUGGUAUACAGUUGGUAUAUUACUCCUACCAUAAUAUUUCUGCAUUGCUGUGGUUUUAUGGUAUAUGUGGGUCAUUGGUAAGGACUCACAAUAUAAAAACAAUGGGUGUCCUUCACAGAUUUAAAAUUCCUGUAUAUGGUUUGCUCCAGACAUAUGAAAAUAAGUACAGUUCCAAGAGGCUUGGCAUCUUAAUUUUAGAUCUGGAGUUUCAUGUGGCUUCAUGAGUAUCAUUUUAUGCUAGUUUAUAAGUAAUGAAUCAUAGCAAAAGUCACUGCUAUGGCUCCUUGAAGGGAUGGACCAAGAAAGAGCCAUGACUGCAUGACACCUAGUCUCUAAGCACAAAGAAAUAUGUAAACUUUGUCCAUGUAUGUGAAUUUAUAAUCCACUCCACUUACCUUAAAAGGGGGCAUUUUUGUAAAAGUGUUCACAUGAGGGAACUUCAAAAAGUUUACAAAAGAAUAUAAAUAAGAUAAUUGAAAUUUUCCAUAAACUUUUUUAAAAGUCCCCUCGUAUCAGUCCAUUAACGAACUGUAAGCAUGAGAUAUAACCCCAUGAGAGGAAUAUGAUUUGGUUUGGACACCUCUCCUAAUCUUAUCCUCUUAGAUUAAACAAAAACUAAGGAGAAUAAGGGCCCUUUUGCCUUGUGGCACAUUAUACUAUAUCAUUAUCCUACAGAGAAUAUAUCCGAACUAUAUUUCACUUUAGCAUAAUGAAUUAAUAAAGACCUACUAGUAGACAUUCAGAUUGGAGUGUAUGUAUAUAUGGAAAAUAUGAGAAGUCUUUAUAUUGUCUUGAAUAGAGAUGAUUGCAUAAAAAUAAUACCCAAUAAAAUUAAUCUGAGCCCUAGACUUAUUGAUAAUUAUAGAGCCAAAAGUUGGAACUGAUUGUAGAAUAAUUUUAUUUUGGGCAUAAGAAUAUGAAAUCUUUUAUGGGAAACUAAUAUUUUACAGUCCUGUUGAUGCAUUUCAAAUUGAACAACUCAUUCUGUCAGGUUUAUUUCAGUGACCUUUAGUAUGUCAUAUUAAGAAAACAUUUUGGGAAACCUUUAAUCUCAUUGUAUCUUUCAGAAAAAUGGACAAACAAUAGAAAAACCAUUCAUUGAAAAGAGGUGAGUGGCUCCCAUUAGUGACAGAUGCAAUCCAAGAGAUAUUGGGAUUAGAGAAUAUUUACCUUAAGGCAAUUAUGUUUCACAUUCAGGCAACCAGACAUUGGUAAGUCUUCUGAAAUGGCUUACAGACUUACUUGAUGUAUUACUGUGACAAAAACCAUUGCUUUUCACCUGAAUGUGAUAGAAUUAAAACUUGAGUGAAGCUUGUAUUCACUGGUACCCAGUAAAAUGCUUGACAUUUAUUUUGAUCUUCAUGUAUCAAUAGAAUUUUCAAUAACAUUAUUGUGAAUUUCUAAAGGUGUUAUGUAACUUGGGGAGAGAUGAAACUUCCAUAACAAAAAGAUCCUAUUAAUUAAAAUGAAAAUAUUAGAAUCAGUGUUUUUUAUAAAACACUAUUGAAUAAUUUGAAGACCCAAUUAUUAUUAGAAUUUCAUGUUUGGAUAUUAUAUAGCUUCAAUAUUUUCAAGAUAAUGAAACCAUAUAGUAUGAAUUCAACAAAUCCAUUAUUUCUGAAAGGGCCACUGAGAUGACUAGGACCAAAACUAACAUAAUAUUGUCCUGUUAGAGAUACUACUCUUUUAUGAGUCUUGUAAUAUUAGAUUACAGCCUUCAUGGAAAAUUCACUGUUCCUGAAAUUUCAUUGAAAUACAAUUGAGACACUAUCUAACAAUACAAAAUAUGCAGGGCACUAUAGCUAGCAAGGGAGCAGCCACACAUGCUUCUACCAAUUCGCAGGUGAAUGGGUGUGCCUUCACUGACCAACCAAACUAACAGGGGUCACGACUUGGGAAGCUCGCCAGGGUCAGUGGGGACAGUGAGAGGGUUGAGGGAGCACACAAGGAAGGAGUUUGCCCUUAACCAGCUGUUGCUAUCUGUUCAUACCUGUCCCCCUUCCUGUCCCACAGAUAAUGUCACUAGAGGAAGCCCCCGUGGGUUCCACUGAUUUGGGGCUAAAGGGAAUGGUCAAGUCCCCAGCAGUCCAUGAGCUGGUGCUGCCAACAGUGUUGGAGAAGGAAACGUCCAGGACUGCCUGUGUGACCAAGAGGCCCAGGAGAUUGCUGGCAGGAUGGGCAGAGACUACCUGAGUCCACAACACAUAGAGAGGCAGACUCCUGGAAAGCCUCACUAGGCCUACAGGACCAACUCAUGCACUGGAACCAGUGUACCCUGGUUUCCCAUGAUGCCUGUUCACACCAACACCCUCUCAUUCCUAUUUCACGGAUGAUAUCAGCAGAGGAAGCCCCCAUGUGGUCAAGUAACCUAUAGGCAAGAGCUGUGGUCAGGGUCCCAGCAGCUCAUGAACUGGUGUUGCCAGCCCACUGGAGAAGGAAAACUCUGAGAUUGCCCAAGUGAAAGGUGCUGCCAGCAGUUCACUCUUGGGACCCUGAGCCCAGAUGAUGUCAACAGAGGAAGCACUUGCAGUCCAGUGCACUGGAAGCAAGGGCUGUGCUUCACUACAAUACAAGCCAGGAGCUGGUGGUGCCAGCCCCACUGGCAAAGGAAAAAUCCUUGAAGACCCUAGAUACCAAGAUUCCCAGCAGUUUGAAGACAAAGGGGACAUAACUUGCCAGAUGCCAUCCCACAUACAGGUUUGGGUUCUUGUGCUCUUACCUGGGCUGAUGAGGCUAAAGAACACUCUGGAACAAUGGCACCUAGUGGCUCCUGUUGUCUGUUGACACCGAACACAAUGAACAGGACUGUCCAUGUGAAAGGUGCUGCCAGCAGUUCACUCUUGGGACCCUGGGCCUAGAUGAUGUCAACAGUGUACCGUAAGCAAGGGCUGUGCCACAGAUCAACACACCGAUAUCUGGUGGUGCCAGCCCCACAGGCAAAAGAAAAACCCUGAAGACCCUAGUGAGUAGAGUAGCCUGGAGAAGUAGCCUUUCAACCUGGGUCAUAGAUGAUGUCAGCAGAAAAGCAAUCCAUGGAUACUAGUACCCGUUGGCAAGGGCUGUGGUCAAGGCCCAGCUUCCAAUGAGUUGAUGCUGCCAUCCCUCUUGGACAAGGAAACAACAGACUUCCAGAGUGAGAUGUAUGUGCUGCCCUUUGUGUCACUCUUACAUCCUCGUUCCAAGUGAGAUGUACUAGCUGGUGGGUCAUAUUUGUGUCCUGGAUUCCAGAUGAUGGCAUCAGGAUCCCUUGUGCGGACCAGUACCCCAAAGGGAAGGCUGUAGUCAAAGCACCAGCAGACCAUGAGCUGGUGGUACCAAGAUCUUGGGGAAGGAAAUUUCCCUGGUUGCCCAAGUGAGAUGUGCUGCCCGUCAGGACACCCUUGUAUCCCACAUCCCAGAUGGUGUCAGCAGAAGAACCCCCAUGGAGAACAGACCAAAUUCAAGAACUGUGGACAAGGUGCCAGCAGCCAAUGAACUGGCGAUGCCAGCCUUGUUGAAGAAGGAAUCAUCCAGGACUGCCUGAGUGCGAGGAGCUGCACAAUGGGGAACAGUUACACCCCAGUUUCCAGGCCCCACAGUUUUGGAUGACAUGGGCAGAACUUGCCAGUCCCCACCCCAGCUAUAGAAUGGCCUGCUAGGAGAACUCACCUGGGCCAAUGAAGCCAAAGUACGCUGAAGAACCAGCACACCCUUGCCUGGCCCUGCUGCCUUUUCACCCCCAUUUACUUCCUUUUUCCACAGAUGUCAGUAGAGGAAAUCAAGGGGGCCCAGUGCCAUGGGGACAAGGGCUCUGGUCUACAUCUAGUUGCACAUUAGCUGGGGGUGUCAUCCCCAUAGAUGUAGGAAAUGUCUGGGACUGUCCAAGUACACCAAAAAAUCCAGGCCCCUGAGUUGGUGUGUAUCUAGGAGCUACUCUUGUUGUGAUUCCUGGGUUUGGGUUAAUGAUGAGACUUCACACUGUCUCAAAGUAUCUUAGUGACUAAAAUUCAUGCUCAAUAGGAUUGUACUGAGGCCCAUCCAAGUGAUAGUCAGUCACGAGUAUUCCAGGGUGCACAUGUGCCUUCCAGGGUAAGAAGCUGGGUAUUGGACACCAGGAGGCUUCCCAGGAUAGGUUUAGUCCUCAGGCUUGAGUGGCUGCUCCUGCUGGAGUCAUCCUAGCUCCUUCCUCUUUGAACUUGGUGUGUGCUCUCUACUGGCCAUGUUGUAGGUCAUGCUCAGUCUCUUCUUCAGCUCCCUUUGCUCCUGUGGUCUUUCAGUGAGGUAUGUUUCCUGACAGGUACUAUAAUUUCCAAAGCACUUUCUUGGUGUGAAUGUAGGUGGGCAGACAAUAGGGAUAUGGCUUCUGUGUGUGGGAAGGCCUUAGUUCCUCUAUAUGGCCCCUAUGGAUGGUCACACCAAGUGAAAUAGUUUGGUGGAGCAGCUGGAUCUGCAGAUAUCUGGUAUCUUCAUGUGGGUCACAAGGCCAUUGGAGUCUAGUACCUAGGAGCUCUCAGUUUGGUGCCUGGUGUGGUAGUAUAAGCACUUAGGCCAUAGCAUUUGUAGCAUGGUUCCAGGGACACACUUUUCUACCCCUUGAAUUUUCUAUGUGCUGGGGUUCAUGGGCCAUAAGGAAUGACUCAGACUGAAUUGGGCCUAUCAAAGAUGCCAGUGUACCUUCUGGACCCAUGUUCCCACUCCUCCAUGGUAGACACCAAGGCUCCACGGUAGAGUUGUCCAUGGUUCAUCCUAAUUGUUCUAUACCAUCUUUGGUGUGUAUAUCAUACUGAGAUGGGCAGUGACCAUAAGCUGAAUGUUUCUCUGGGUGGCACAGCUUGAGACCCAGAAUCUACUGUUCAUGUACAUCCUGCAACAAGUUGCUCAGGCCCAUACAGUGACCCUGACUUGAUAGGCCCAGGGCACUGCAGGUGUCUCCUUAGAUAUAUCCAGUCUUCUGAUACUUAGGCUGAACCAUUACCUGCUUGUUCAGCACAAUUCCGUAUAGGACCUGGAUGUUAGGGGCAGGAAGUAUGAUGGAAGGCGCCAUUUCUGGCAGGACACUCCUGUCCAAGUAUCCCUUUCUGUUCUAGUAACCUAGAAGCUCAGCAAUUUGCUAAACACUACCACGCCUACAGGGUUAGACUCCUGGAACUACUCAUCUGAUCUGAUGAGGUCAAAUCAUGUUCUGGAAUCUUUGCAGCCUAAUACGGGCCUGUUCUCUGUUCACUCCUGACUAAAUGACCAAUACUGCCCAUGGUAAGCCAAUCCAUCCAUCCUUGCCAUAUGUUGUGAUGGCUCCAGGGACUCCUCCUGCUGUGUUCACUGGGGUUGGGUAUAUGAUGAGAUAACAGAAUGUCUCAAAGAGAGAUGAUGACUUAAAAUCAUGCUCAAUAGGAUUACUCUAAGGCCUCACAUAGUUACAGGGUGCCAGGAGUACCCUAGAGUCCACAAGUGCCUUUCAGGGUAGACCCAUAGGAAUGCACACCUGGAGGCUACCCCAGUCCUGAAUGUAGUCCCUAGGAAAGAGUCUUUGAUCCUGAUGAAUCCAAUCAAGCUAUUUCCUCCUUGGAUGUGGUGUGUUAUCCCAACUUGCCAAGUUAUGGGUAUAUUUUGUGGGGCUCCUUCUUCAUCUCCCUUCAUCCUCUUUUUUCUUCCAAGAGAUGUAGAACCCAGUGGGUCACACUUGCAUCCUCGUUCCCAGGUGAGUGCAUGGCAUGGGUCUUGUGUGGUGGAGUUGGGUAUCAUGGCCGGUCACUCAAUGCAAAAGUUAGGAAUGUACUCAGGGAGACAUCAGAAUGCAACCUGGGGCUAUGAUCCUGAGUGAGCUGUCUCUCUUUGGGCUCUGAGGUCCUGAAUACCUUACCUGAAUCCCCAGAAAUGUGUGUGUACCUGGAAAGGAAUGAAAACUGUUCCUGAGGGAGGAUCAUGUGCUUUCUUGCUUGCUUUCUUUCUUUCUUUCUUUCUUUCUUUCUUUCUUUCUUUCUUUCUUUCUUUUUUUUUGACAGGCAGAGUGGACAGUGAGAGAGAGACAGACAGAGAGAAAGGUCUUCCUUUGUCGUUGGUUCACCCUCCAAUGGCCGCCGCGGCCGGCGCGCUGCAGCCGGCGCACCGCGCUGAUGGAUCAUGUGCUUUCGAAGUUGCCACUGCUCCUAUGGGGCUAUAUAACAUCUCUGUGUUGCCUGUUGGUGUAACCAGCAGUAUUAAGACACGAGGGAUCUGGCGUUCUGAAGGUGCAGGUUCAGCUUCCUUAAGAGGUCUGGUUUGAGGAUCAAUUUGAGAAUAGGAGGGAAUUUGGCCAGGCUGCCAGCUAUGCAGGUUUCUAGCAGCCUGGGAUCUACAACCGGGUUGCAGGGCCCCUAGAACCUAGCACACAGAAAUGAUCAGUUUGAUGACCAAUGAGGGAAGCGGAGGCAUCUGUGCUAUGGUAGCUGCAGGGCCAUAGUCCAGCCCAAUGCCUUGCCCCAACUGUGGGAUGUGCAUGCAACUCAGUAGGCAGUGUCCUUGGGGGAAAUUUUCUUUGGAUCCGUAGCCUGAAUUCAUGGGUUCCAGUGUGUGAUCAGAGCUUGCACCUGAGCCCCUAGGUCUGGACAAGGAUACAAUCUUGGUAGGACCAGAGCUGUUCUGGGGACUCCUUUGGUAAGACCCUUGACACCACUCUUCUGAGCUGUGCCAGUGCAAGAAUGUUCAGCCAGACUAAAGGCACAAAUAGUUCUCUGGGGAGGAAAGGGUUUUGGGACUCCCACGGGAGUGCAUGGCAGGGACUAUGGGGUCUUUGUUAGGAAAUAGAUUGUCACAGCGGAUCAGCCAAUGAAAGCUAACUUGUGGCCUGGGUUUGGGCCCAAUUAAGAGAUACCAAAGUUCCUGGGGGUGGUUCACAUUUGGCCAGUGCCCAUGUUUGUUCUAGGUGAGCUGGAGAGCCUCUGAGUUGUCUUGUCUGAUAUGUUGGAAGUUCUUGACUUCUGGGUGUCCAACCACAGUGUGAGUGCUGGGUUUAGAUUUCAAGGAGGCCAGCGCCACGGCUCAAUAGACUAAUCCUCCACCUAGCGGCGCCGGCACACCGGGUUCUAGUCCCAGUUGGGGCGCCGGAUUCUGUCCCAUUUUCCCCUCUUCCAGGCCAGCUCUCUACUGUGGCCCGGGAGUGCAGUGGAGGAUGGCCCAGGUGCUUGGGCCCUGCACCCCAUGGGAGACCAGGAUAUGCACCUGGCUCCUGCCUUCAGAUCAGCGCGGUGCGCCAGCCACAGCACGCCGGCCUCGGCGGCCAUUGGAGGGUAAACCAACGGUGAAGGGAAGACCUUUCUCUCUGUCCCUCUCUCUCUCACUGUCCACUCUGCCUGUAAAAAAAAAAAAGAUUUCAAGGAGGCCUUGGAUGAAGAUUGGAUGAAGACACAAAAGGUAGGGAUAGGGGUUUUGUGGGGUACCAGGCUGUGCAUAUGCCUGGCUGCCUGGGAGGUUUAUAGGGGUCAAAAGUUCUCAGGAAAGGUGGCAUAGCUUUUCCAACCCCACACACCUAUAGGGGUGGCCUCAUGGUAGGCCUCACCUAGGCCAAUGGGGACAGUGUAUGCUGGGGAACCAAUGCAUCCUUACCUGCACCAGCUGUGUGUUCACACGUGCCUCCUCCUAGUCCCACAGAUGAUGUCACCAGAUGAAACAUACAUGUGUUUCAGUGUCCCAGAAGCAAGAGCUGUGGUCAUGAACCCAACAGCCCACGAGCUCAUCCUGCCUGCAUUGUUGGAAAAUAUCUGCAACUGCCUGUGUGAGAUGAGCUGCCCUAUGGAGCAACCUUGAACCAAGGGUUCUAGGAACAAUGGUGGAAACUACCUCCAAUACUACGUUUCUGGCCUAAUAGGCCUCUCAGUCACAUAGACCAAGCACACCUAGAGAGAUAGUGUCACCAAUGGAAGCCCCUACGAGGUCCAGUUUGUGGAGCAAGGGCCGUGAUCAAGGGCCAUGAGCAAUCAAGCUUGUUCCAUCACCAAGAGAGAAUGAAAUGUCUCUGACUUCCUGAGUGAGAUGUGCUGCCCAUCAGAACUCCCUUGUAUCCCACAUCCCAGAUGUCAGCAGAGGAAUCCCUGUGGACAAGGUGCCAGCAGCCUUUGAGCUGUUGAUGCUAGCCAUGAAGAAGGAAAUGUCCAGGACUUCCAGAGGAAAGCCAGUCCUAACAGCGUUAUCGGUGGGAGGGCUCACAGAGAUUCUUGAGAUAGUGUCACCAAUGGAAGCCCCUACGAGGUCCAGUUUGUGGAGCAAGGGCCGUGAUCAAGGGCCAUGAGCAAUCAAGCUUGUUGUUCCAUCACCAAGAGAGAAUGAAAUGUUUCUGACUUCCUGAGUGAGAUGUGCUGCCCAUCAGAACUCCCUUGUAUCCCACAUCCCAGCUCACUCCAUGUGCACAGAUGAACAGAUCCCGUUCAAGAGCUGUGGACAAGGUGCCAGCAACCAAUGAGCAGCCAAUGAACAAUGCCAGCCAUGUUGAAGAAGGAAUCGUCGAGGACUGCCUGAGGAUUACGCUGAGGCCCAGCCUAGUGACAGUGGUGCUAGAGGUACUUGGGGUAACCAGGUGCCUUCCAGGGGAGGAGACCCUAGGACUGGAGAACUCAAAGCCCCCCUUGGUCAGGACAUGAUCUUCGGGCAGAUCGGCUGCUUGUGAAGGAUUCACACAAAGUCUAUCCUCAUUGGGUUUGGUGUGUGCUCCCUGCUGUAAAAUUUGCUGUCCUACAUUGGAGAUUCCUCCCUAAGCUCCUGUAUUCCAAAAUGUCUUUCAGUGAGAUGAGCUGUCCUUUGGAGCCCUCUUGGACCAAGUGUUCUAGAUGAUGUCACCAAAGGAAGCACCUAUGGGGUCCAAUGCUUGUAGUCAAGGCCUCAUGGGCCCAUGAGCUGGUGGUUGCAUUCCCGAGGGUGAAGGAAAUAUCUCUGAUCUCCUGAGUGUUAUGUGGUGCCCAGCAAGUCACCCUUCCAUCCCACAUCCCAGGUGAAUGGAUGGUGAGACUCAUGGGGCCCUGCCAAGAAUCUGAGGAUGAUGUCAACAGAAGAUGCCCAUGGGGAACAGACCCCAUUAGCAAGAGCUGUGGUCAGGGUCCCAGCAGCCACCAAUGAGCUGAUGAUGCCAGCCUUGUUGAAGGAGAAAAUGUCCAGGAUCGCCUGAGUGAGAUGAGUUGCACAGCAAGGCACCCUUACACUCCAGUUCCAAGUGAGAUGUGCUUCCUGUUGGUUCACCCUUUUUUCCGCAGGUCCCAGGUAAGUGGAUGGCAAAGAUCAUGGGGUCUCUAUGUGGGAUAUGGGUGUCAGGGUUGAUCACCCAAUGAAAGCCUGAGGAGUGGACCCACUGAGACACAUGAUAGCAGUCUUGGCCUGUUAUCCAGCACCAGUUGUUCCACUUUGGCCCCUGAAGUCCAGAACACCUUUCUGAAUGCCUGGGAUGGUUUGUAGACCAACUUGUGAUAGACAUAGAUCUAGGAAGAGGGUUCACAUGGGACCAAUGCCCCUACUUGUCCUAGGUUGUCUGUAGCUGCUUUUGGUUGCCUUGCUGAUUUGGCUGGGAUUGGGCAGACAGAAGGUAUCAGGCCUUUUUGUGGGGGCAAGGCUUAUCUCCCAAAUGAGUCUCAUAAAGAAGAAAACACCAAGAAGUGAGUUUGGUGUAUCAGCCAGCUCUACAGGUGCCUGGAAGCCUGGGAGCAUUAUGUGGGUCACAGAGCCACUGGAACCCAGGACCCAGGGACGCUCUAGCCAGUGCCCUGUCAGGGAGGUGCCAACACCAGAACCAUGGCACCUGCAGGGUGGUGCCCUGCACAUCCAUGCCCAAUGCUUGCCUCAUCUAGGGGCUGGAAUUUGAGGGCCACAUGGAUGGGCUUUGGAUUGAGGUGUGCCCAGCAAGGAUGACAGUUCACCUCCUGGGUUGGGCUCCCACUCCUCCAUGGGAAGCAUCAAGGCCCCAAGGUAGAAGUGGGCCAUGGGCCAUACCAAUGUCCCUACCCCAUCUUUGGGUGUGUUGGAGGAAGAUGUUUCUGCAGGGCACAGAGUAGCAAUAGGAGGAAGAUUCUUCUGCAGGGUACAGCCUAAUCUCCCAAAAUCCAGUGUAUUCACAAAGCCUGCUCUAAAGUGCACAGACCUGCACAGUGACCCCAUGUUGGUAGGCCAAAGGCUCUACAGAAUUCCCUUGGAUGUGUUGUGGGCCAGAAUUCUGAUGUUUAGGCUGGGCCAUUGCUUGCUUGACCAUCCUAGUCCUGGCUUGGAUUUGGGACCUGGGGGCAGGAAGAAUUGGUUGAUUUAGCCACUACCAGAAAGAAGAUCCUGCCUGAUUGUCUCUCUCUGUCCCAGUGACCAAGAGGCCCCACAGUUUCUGGCAAGGUAGAUGAAACUUGCCAGUCCCCAUACCACCUACAGAGAUUUGCUCCAGGGAGGACUCACCUUGGCCAACAUGGCCAAACCACACUCUGGAAUCAGCAUACCCUUGCCUGGUCUUCCUGUUUGUUCACACCCAAUACCCUUAAUGUUCCACAGAUGAUGUCAGCAGAGGAUGACCAGGGGACCCAGUGCCACAUGGGCAAGGACUGUGGUCUAGGCCUAGUGGCCAAUGAGCUGGGAGCUUCAACUUCAUGGGUGUAGGAAAUGUCUAGAACUGCCCAUGAUAAGGUAAUCCAACCAGGCCAUGAAGUUGGAAUGGCUCCAGGGACUUCCCGUGCUGUCUCCUGGGGUUGGGUUGAUAAUGAGACCUCAUACUAUCUCAGAGAGAGAUGAUGACUUAAAACUCAUGCUUAAUAGGAUUACUCAGAGGCCCAGCCUACUGAAAGUUGGUCAAGUGUAUCUCAGGAACCGCAUGUGCCUUCCAAGGAAGGAGAACCUGUGUGCUCAGGAUGUAGUCCCCAGGCAUGAGCAGCUGCUCCUGCUGAAUCCACCCAAAUUUCUUCCUCCUUGGUGUGGUGUGUGUUCCCUGCUGGCCAAUUUUAGGGUGUGCUGGGGACUUCUUCUCAGGUAUCUUCAUCCUUUUGCUUCUUUCAGUGAGAUGUGCUAACCCUAGGUCACCCUUGUUGUCCUGGGUCCUGGAUGUGUAGAUGAUAAGAAUAAUGGGGCCUCUAUAUGGGAGCUUGGUAUAAGGGCAGUCACCCAAUGAAAGUUUGUGUAGUGGUCCCAGAUAGACACAGGAAGGUAGCCUCUGGCCAUGCUCCUGGUUGAACUGUUCCCCUUUGGGCUGUGAUGUCCAGAACACUUUACCUGAACCUCACCAUGGUGCAGGGGCCAGACAGGAAUAGAAACGAUUCCUGAGGGAGAGUUCACAUGCUGUCAAAGUUGCCACUGUGUCUAGUGGGUCUUCAGCAUUUCUGUGUUGCCUUGGUGGUGUGACAUGAAGCAGGGAACACUGGGCAACAUGCUCCUCUGAAGGUGCAGGUUUCAGAUUCCAUAAGAGGUCCAGGCCAAGGACCAUACUGAGAAUGGCAGGGAGGUUUGAUGGGUUACCAGCUCUGCAGAUGUUGGCAGCCUAGGAGCUUCACAUGGGUUGCAAGAUCCCUGGAUCCUAGGUUGCAGUAAUAUUCAGGCCCAUGCCCAAUAAAGGAGAUGCAGGCAUCAGUGCAAUGAUAGCUACGUGGCUAUGGUCCAACCCAAUGCCCGUGCCUCAAAUGUAGAUGUGUAUGAGAUUCAAAAGGCAGCAUCCAUAGGAGGCAGUGUUCUCUGGGGUUCGUAUCCUGAACUUCUGGGAUCCAGUGUGUGAUUUCAGCCUGCACCUGAGACCCUGGGCCUGGAGGGGGAUGCCAUGUUAGUUGGAUAAGAGCUCCCCUUGGAACUCCUUUGGUGUGUCUCAUGCUAUCAGUCCUCUGAUGCCAAGGCCAUGCCAUCACUCUCAUGUCCAGCCUGUGUAAUGGACCAAUCUUGACCCUCUGUGGAAUGAAGGAGUGGUAGAGGUAGCUGCUUUGGGCAGGGUUUUCCAGCCCGAGUGGCCUUGUCUGCCCCAGUGACCAACAGCCAAGCAGUUUCUGAGUGAGAUGAUCAGAGAUUUCCUGACUCACCAUGCCUAAAGGGGUGUGCUACAUGGAAACUUCUCUGGGCUGUGAAGUCUAACAACAUUCUGGAACCAGUAUACCCAGAGCCUGGCACAUGCUGUCUCUUCAUAUUCAACCACAUCCUUGUGCCAUAGGUGAUAGCAGAGGAAACACAUGUAGGAUUUAGUACCCCUAGGGUAAGGUCUGUGGUCAAUACCCUAGUUGCCCAUGAACUGGUGGUACCACUCAAUUGGCAAAGGAAUCAACCCAAUGGCCCAAGGUAACCAAUUCCAUUUGUAUUUUAGGGGUGGGAUGGCACCAAUGGGUUCCUGUGGUGUGAUUCUUGGGAUUGGGUCGAUAAUGAGAACUCAUACUGUAUCAAAAAGAGAUGAUGACUUAAUCAUAUUUAAUAGAAUUAUACUGACGCCCAACAUAGUUACAUUGGUGCAAGAGAACCUCAGGGUUUCCAUGUGUCCUCCAAGGGAAGAAACCUAUGGGAUGGUGUCCUUGAGGCCCCCAUGCAGGACCCAAUCCCUGUAUAGGAGCAGAUGCUCCAGCAGGAUUUACCCAAGCUUCUUCCUCCUUGAGCUUCAUGUGUGCUCCACUCUGACUGAGUUGGGGGAAGUGCUAUGGGCUCUUCCUUCAGUUCCUUUCAUCUUCUUGUCUUCUUCAGUGUUGUGUACUGCCCAGCAGUUUACCCUUACAUCCUAGUUCCCAGGUGAGUGCAUGUGUCAGGGUGGGUCACUCAAAGAAAUCCAGAGAGGUGGACCCACAUAGACACAGGAACACUACCUCAGGCUGUGCUGUAGAGCAAGCUGUGUCUCUUUGGGCUCUGAGUUCCAGAAUGUGUUGCUCAAACACAUGGCCUGGUUUGGGGAACAACUAAGAAAGGCAAGGUUUGUAAGGGAGGGUUAACAUGGGGUUAGUGCCCCCACUUAGAGUAGGUGGGCUGUAGUGGCUAUGGAUUGCCUUGCUGUUUUGGCCAGAAGUUUCAGAAUCUAGGGCUGAGAAUUGUGUGUAAGGGCAAGUUUAGAUUCCCUAUGAGGCCUGAGAUGAGGGCAACAGUAAGGGAAGGAGGGAGAUUUGGUGGGGAAGCAGGUUUUGCAGGUACCUGGCAGUCUGGGAGCUUCACAUGGGUUAUGAGGCUGUUGGAACAAUGAUUCAGGAGUAUUCCAACCAGUGCCCAGUUAUGGGUAUGUCCAAGGCACCCUCAGUGUGAAACAUUCUUGACUCCCCAAGGGAAGCCACUAUGUCAGGGCUUUAGAAGUGGGACAGUAUCAAUGAGAUCACGUGGUAUGUGAGUCUGGGGGUUGGGUCGAUAAUGAGACCUCAUACUGUCUUGAUGAGAGAUGAUGAAUCAUCUAAACAUGAUGAUCAUGCUCAACAGGUUAUGCUGAGGCCCAAUUUAGUGACUGUGGUGCAAGAGGAGCCCAGGGUCCCCACAUGCCUUCGAGGGCAAAGAGACCUGGGAAUGGAGAUGUUGAGGCCUCUAGACAUGGAUACAGUCCCCAGGGAGGAGCAACUGGUGUGUACUCCUUGCUGACUGAGUUGCAAGCCAAGCUGGGGGCUCCUUCAUCAGUUCCUUUUGGCCCCUUGUCUCUUUCAGUGAGAUGUGCUUCCUGACAUCCCAGAUGUUGGAUGCUGAGGAUCAUUUGGUUUCUAAGGGAGAUCUGGGGAUCUGGGCGCAUCACCUAUCACUAGUGUAAGGAAUAGACCUUGAAUACGCAGGAUAGCAGCCUUGGCAGUGCUCUAGAGCAAGCCAUGCCCCUUUGGGUUAUGAGGUCUAGAACGUCUUGCCCAACCACCUGGCCUGGUGCAGGAGCCAACUGAGGGUUGGCAAUGGAUCCUAAGGGAGUGUUCAUGUAUGGCCAGUGGGCUGCAUUGGCUCUGUGUUGCCUUGCUGCUUUGGCUGGAAUUGGGCAGAUACUGGGGAUCAGGCCUCUGUGCCAGGGCAGGACUCCCAUUCCAUAGGAGGCCCAGGUGGAUGAACACACCCAGAAAUGAGGGAGGUUUGGCAGGGAAGAUGCUCUACAGAUGCUUGGCUGCCUGGGAGUUUCACAUGUGUCACAGGGUCACUGUAAUCUAUGAUGCAUUGCCCUGACAGUGGGGUUCUGACACCUAGAACACAUAUACAGUGGUGCCUGGGCAUGCCCCCUCCCCAGUGUUUGCCUCAUCCAGGGAUUGGCAUUAACUGUCACAUGGGUGGUUUUGAUCUGAGUUGAGCCUACUAAGGAUUGCAGUUCCCCUUCUGGUCCCAGGAUCCCACACCUCAAUGGAAUGCACGAGGGUUCCACAAAUGAAUGAUCCAUGGUCCAGGCUGAUGCCCCUUCCUUUAGGAUGUGUAUCAGACUUUAGUAGGAAGGAAGAGACCAUAGGAGGAAGGUGUCUGUGGGGUGUAUAUCCUGAGUUACCAGGAUGUGGUGUGUGUACACAGCCUACACCUUAGCACCCAGAUUGGACAGGGAUGCCGUCUUGGUAGGACCAGGGCACCAAGAGUGUCUCCUUUGAUGGAUCUCAUGCCAUUAGUUCUCUGAUACCAAGUCUGUGCAAUCACUUUAUUAUCCUGCCUUGGUCCUAGACUGGACUCAUCUUGGGUUAAGGAAGGAGCAGUUGGGUUAACCCUUCUGGCAUGAUGACCCAGCCUGAGUGGCCUGUUCUGGUCCAUGAACCAACAGGCCCAGCAGUUUUCCAGCAAGGUGUGUGGAGCUUGCCAGAACCAAGACACCUACAGAGACUGCCUCCUGGAAAGCCUCACCUGGACUCAUAGAGCCAAAGAACACUGGAAACAGUGCACUCUAGCUUGCCCCUGUUGUUUCCUCACACCCGAACCCCUCCCUAACCCAGAGAUGAUGUCAGCAGAGGAAGCCACCAUGGAAUCCAAACCCCAUGGCAAGAACUAUGGUCAAGGACCCAGCAGCCCAUGAGCUGAUAGUGCCAGCCACGAUGGAGAAGCAAUCAUUCAAGACUGCCCAAUGUAAGCCAAUAUAUCUACAUCCUAUCAGGGGACAGCAUCCAAGGUUUCCCAUGGUGUGGGUUCUGGGACUGGGUCGAUGAUGAGACCUCAUACUGUCUUGAAGAGAGAUGAUGACUUAAAAAUCAUGCUCAAUAGGAUUACACUGAGGCCCAGCCUAGUGACAGUGGUCAAGAGGACCCCAGAGUUUCUACAUGCCUUCCAGGGCAGGAGACCCUGAGGACUGGAGAUCUUGAGACCACCCCCCCAGGCCAGGACACAGUCCACAGGCAUUAGCAGGUGCUUGUGCAGGAUGUACCUAAGCACCAUCUUCAUGGGGCUUGGUUUGUGCUCUCUGCUGUCUGAGUGGCAGGGCCUCAGUGAAGGCUGCUUCCUCAGCAACUUUCAUCCCCUUCUAUCUUUCAGUGAGUAGAGUAGCACGGCAAUGCACCCUUCCGAGCUGGGUCACAGGUGAUGGUGAUAGUAAUGGGGCCUUCGUGGGGUUCACCUAACGCAAAUCUCUGGUGUGGACCCAUGGAGACACAGGAAGGGGCUUUGGACAGAGCUUCUUAGUGAGCUAUUGCCUUUUGGGUUCUGAGGUCCAGAGUACCUUACCUUACCUGAACCCCAGCCUUGUGUGGGGAUUCAGACAAGGAGUAGAAAUGUUUCCUGAGGGAAGGUUCAUAUGGGGCCAGUGCUGCCACUCAGGCUAGGUGGUCCUCAGUUGCUCUGAGUUGUCUUGCUGGUGUGGAAGGAAGUGUCCAGACACUGGGGAAUAAGACUCCUUGUGGGGAGGGCAGGUUUAAAUUCAGUGGGGGCCUGGAUGAAGGCACCAAGGAAAUGAGAGAUUUGAGGGGCAGAAUAGCAGGUGACUGUCAGCUUGGGAACUUCAGGUGACAGGGCAGCUGGAACCUCAGACACAGGGAAGUUCAGGCACACCCAUACCCACUGCUUGCCUAUUCCAGGGCCUGGCAUUUCUGGCAUUGUGGGUGGCCUUGGUGUGUGUUGGUCCUAUCAAGGGUGCCAGGGCCCAUCCUGGUCAAGAGCUCAUACUGCCCCAUGGGAGGCAUCAAGGCAACAUGGUAGGGGUUGGCUAUGGUCCAGCCUAAUGCUCAUACACUGUCUUUGGAAUGUGAACAGGAAUGAGUUGAGCAGCAACCACAAGAGGAAGGUGUAUCCUAGAAACACGGCAUGAACUCUGGGAAUACAGUAUGUGCACAUAGCCUAAGACCUCAGUUCCUGGGCUUGGAUGAUGAUGUCUUGUUGUUAGGCCCAGGACCCCAUGGAGGCCUCCUUGGGUGUCUUGUUCAACUGGUCCUCAGUCCAAUUAUAUGCUAGGGCUUGAUUGUCCAGCCCAGGUGCAAACCAAAACCUUGGUCCUGGGGUCAGAGUAGAUCAGUGAAGGAUGAUAACCUGUGACCAAGAGGCCCAGCUGUUCUUGAGAAAGGUGGAGAGAACUUACCUGACCCCGCUAUGCUUACAGGGGUAGAAUUCUGGGAAGACUAAAAAGGGAAGAUGGGGCCAAGGCAUGCUCUAGAACCAGUGUACCCAGACGUGCCCCUGCUGUCUGUUUAUACCCACCCUCUCCAUGUCCCACAGAUAAUAUCACCAGAGGAAGACUUCCUGGGUUCCAAUAUAUGGGGGCAAGGGCUGUGGUGAAGGCCCAGCAGCCUAUGAGAUGGUGCUGACAGCACUGUUGGACAAGCCACAUGGGUACCAGGUGACUAGAUGCAGAAGAUUAUGGGGCCUCUGCAGUAAAACUGCACAAUUCUAUGCUACCACUUAAUUUUCUCUCCCUGAUUUUGGCAAGAUCCUGGGUAUUGGAAUCAGGAAGGAGCUUUGGGAGAAUCUGUUUCAUAUAGGGAAGUUGGGCCCGAAUACUCCUCUCUGGACUAGUGACCAGUAGUAUCAACAUUUCUUUGGCAAGGUGGCAGAGCUUCUCUGACUCCACCACACCUAUAAGGGUGGCCUCCUGGGAAGCCUCACCUUGGCUGAAGGCAUUCAAGCAUGCUCUGGAGCCAAUGAACCCUAGCUUGCCCCUGCUGUGCAUUCACAACCUCUUCCUCCCAGUCCCACAGAUAUGUCACCAGAGGAAGCCUGCAUGUGUUCCAGUGCCCCAGAGACAAAGGUGGCGGUCAAGACCCAGCAUCCCACGAGCGGGUACUACCAGCUCCAUUGGAAAUGGAUAUGUUCACAAGAGCCCAGGUAAGCCAAUCCAUCUGGGCCCUGGAGGUGGGACAUCAGCAAGGGCUUCCCAUGGUUUGGUUCCUGAGGUUGGGUUGUUGAUGAGAACUCAUACUGUCUCAAAGAGAUGAUGACUUAAAAAUCAUCUUCAAUAGGAUUAUGCUGAGGCCCAGUCUAGUGACAGUGGUGUAAGAGAACCUUGUGGUAACCAGGUGCCUUCCGGGGGAGGUGACCAUGGGGGCUAGAGACCUCGAGGCCCUCAGGCAAGGACGUGAUCUGCAGGCAGGACUGGUUGCUGUGCAGUCUUCUCCAACCGUCUUUCAGUAGGAUGAGCUGCCCAGUAGAACACCAUUGACCCCUCUAGGUGAGUGAAUAGAGGAUGUCAUUGGGCCUGUGUAGGGCAGAAGGUGUUCUGGGUGGGUUACAGUACGUGUGUCUGCUAUUUGGAACCACAUAGACCCAGGAAGAUAGCUUUAAGCCAUGCUCCUGGGUGAGCUAUGCCUCAUUAAGCUCUGAGGUGCAGAUAAACUUACUUGAAAAUAUUGCCUGUUAAGGGGGCCAAGAGAGGAAUGCAAAGGGUUCCUGAGAGAGAGGUCACAUGGGCCCUCUGCCACCACUCUUCCUAAGUGGGUUGAAGCAGCUCUGAGGAAAUGUGGGUGAGCAUUUAGGAUGAGGCCACAGAGGGAGGGCAGGGAUGAGAUUCACAAGGAGACCCAGGCUGAGAACCAUACAAAAGCAAUGAGGGAGGUUUGGCAGAAUAACAGGCUCUGGAGGUCCCUAGCAGCCUGAGAGUUUUACGUGGGUCACAGAGCCAUUGUAGCCAUGAUUCAGGGACACUCCAGCAGGUGCCUAUUUGGGGGGUGCUGACACAUGGUCCGUUGUACCUGCAGAGUGGUGCCAAGGCAUGCCGCAUCCCUGCUGCUUGCCUCUUCUAGGGGCUGACAUUCCCAGGCCACAUGGGUUGGCUUUGGAAUGAGUUGAGCCCACAAAGGAUGAGAGGGCCCCACCUGGGCCUUGGAUCCUGCUCCUCCAUGGGAGGCACCAAGGCUGCACAGUGGGAGUUGCCCACGGCCUGCCCUCUGCCCAUACCCCAUUGUUGGGACGUGCUUGGGACUGAGGUGGGCAGCAAACAUAAGAGGAUGGGGUCUCUGUGGGGCCCAGCCUGACCUCUCAGGAUACAGUGUGUUCAGGCAGCCUGCAACCUGAGGGUCUGGGCCUGUGAGGUGACACUGUUGGUUGGCCCAGGGUCCCACAGUGGCCUUCCUUGGGUAUCUCUCAUGGGAAUGGAGACUUGAUGCUUGAAUCAGGCCACUCUUUGCUUGUCUAGUUCUUGACUAGGACUUGAGUCUAAGGGGUGUGAAAGAGCAGUGGGGGUAGCCCCUUCUGGUAGGCCAUCCUACCAAGUGUCCCUCUCUGUCACAGUGACCAAGAGGUCCAGCAAGUUUGGUGGAGCUUGCCUGACCCACCAUGCCCACAUGGGUGGGCUCUUGGGAAGCCACACCUGGGCCCACAUGGUCAAAGCAUGCUCUGGAGCCAGUGAUUCCUAGCCUGCUCCUGUCCUCUGUUCACACUCAUUCCCCUCCCUGUCCCAUAGAUGAUGUCACCAAAGGAAGCACUGGUGGGGUUCGAUAUCCCAGGGGCAAUGGCUGUAGUCAAGGCCCUAGGGGCCCAUGAGCUGGUGGUACCAGCUCCACUGGUGAAGAAAGCAUCCCUAACUCCCCUAUGUAAGCCAAUCCAUUAGGCCCUAGAGAGGGGAAUAUGCCAAUGAGAUCCUAUGGUAUGGUUCCUGGAGUUGGAUCUGUGAUGAGACCUCAUACUAUCUCAAAGAAAGUUGACAACAUAAAAAUCAUGCUUAAUAGGAUUACACUGAGACCCAGCCUAGUGACAGCAGUACAAGAGGAUCCCAUGGCACACAUGUGCCUACCAGGGCAGGAGACCCUGCAGACUGGAGUCAUUGAGAUCCCAGGCUGGUAUACAGUCCCCAGGGAGUAUCAGCUGCUCCUGCAGGAUCCACUCAAGCUUCUUCCUCCUUGGGCUUUAUGCUCCCUUUUGGUCGAGUUGUGUUCUGUGCUGAGGGCUCCUUCUUCAGCUCCUAUUGUCCUCUAUUCUCUUUCAAUGAGAUGUGUGCUGCCCUGUGUCCUGGUGAAUGGAUGCUGAGGAUCACUUGGCCUCUGCAGGGAUCUGGAGGCCUGGGUGAGUUACCUGUCAUGAACAUAAGGAGUGGACUCAUGGACACACAGGAUGGCAGCAUCAUGAAGUGCUCCAGAGCAAGCUAUUCCCCCUUUGAGCUCUGAGGUCUAGAAUACCUUACCCAAACCUUUGGCUUGGUGUAAGGGACAACUGAGGAUUGGCAAUAGAUCCUGGGGGAGGGUUCAUGUGUGGUCAGUAGCCCCACUUGUCUUUGGUGGGCUGCAGUGGCUCUGGGUUGACUGUUUUGAGAUUGGGCAGGUAUUGGGUGUCAGGCCUCUGCUGGCUUCAGACUUGGAUUCCAUAGGUGGCCUGGAUAGACAACCACACCAAAAAAUGACAGUUUCAUGUGGAAGCAUGCUUUGAAGGUGCCUGAUAGUCUGGGAACUUCACUUGUGUUCUGGGGUCACUGCAUCCUAGGACGGAGGACCCUCAGGCAUUUCUCAGUCAGGGAGAUUCUGGCACCAACCCAGGGAACCUGUAUAGUGAUGUCUGACAUGCCCCAUACCCUAUGCUUGUGUUCCCUUUCACAUGAAUGGGAUUUCCUCUGUGUGGAGCCUACUAAAAAUGCAAGGGCCCCUCCUGGUCCUGGGCUCCCACUCUUCCAUUGGAUGCAUCAUGACCACACUAAUGAAUGAUCCACAGUCCAGGCUGAUGCCCCUUUCCCAUCUUUGGGAUGUGUACAGGACUCAGUGUGCAGAGACCAUAAGAAGAAGAUGUCUCCAAGGUGCAUAUCCUAAGCUCCCAGGAUGCAAUGGGUGUACACACAGCCUAUACCUUAGUGCCCAGAGUGGAUGGGGAUGCCAUGUUGGUUGGAGUGGGGCCCAAGUGGUGUCUCCUUUAAUGGGUCUCAUAUCACCCAUCCUCUGAAUCCAAGUUUGUGCCAGUGCUUUCUUGUUUAGUCCAGGUCCUGGUCCUGACUUGGGCUCAAAGGUAAAGGAAGGAGCAGUGGGAUUAUCCACUUCCAGCAUGGCAACCCAGCCUGAGUUUCCCUCUCCAGCCCGGUGGGUAACAGGCGCAACAGUUUUCCAUCAAUUUUGGCGGGGCUUGCCAAACCAAGAUGCCUACAGGGACAGCCUCAGGGAAGCCUCACCUGAGCCAAUGAAAACAAAGCAUGCUCUGUAACCAGUGCACCCUAGUCUGCCCUACUAUCUGUUCACACCCAUCCACAUCCCUAUCUCACAGAUAAUGACAGCAAAGGAAGAACCCUGGGGUCCAGGGCUCAGAAGGCAAGGGUGUGGUCAAGGCGUAGCACCCCAAGAACUGAUGGUACCAACUCUGUUGCCAAAGUAAUUGUUGUUCUGGUAAGCCAAUCUCUCUGGGCCCUGAAGGUGGGAUGGCACCAGGGACUUCCCAUGGUGUAGUUUCUGGGGUUGGGUCAAUGAUGAGACCUCAUACUAUCUCGAAGAGAGAUGAUGACUUAAAAAUCAUGCUCAAUAGGAUUACACUGAGGCCCAGCCUGGAGGCAGUGGUGCAAGGGGAAUUUGGGGUAACCAGGUGCUUUCCAGGAUAGAAGACACUGGGGACUGGAUGCAGUCUGCAGGCACGAAUGAGUGUUUGAGCAGGAUGUACCCAAGCUCUAUCUUUCUUGAGCUUGGUAUGUGCUCCCCACUGUCUGAGACUGGGUCCACACUAGGCCCUCCUUCCUCAGAUCCUGUUGUCCUCUUUAGUCUUUCAGUGAGUAGAGUAUCCUGGCAGGGCACCCUUUUGACCCUGGUCCCAGGUGAGUGGAUGGUGGUAGUAAUGGGGUAUAUGUGUAGCAGCUGGUGGUCUGGGUGGGUCAACAGAUACUAACCUCAGGGGUAGACCCAUGGAGACACAGGAAAGCAGACUCAGGCAGUGCUCCUGAGUGAGCUGUGUCCCUUUGGGCUCUGCGGAUCAGAAUGCUGUACCUGAACUCCUGCCUUGUAUAGGGAAAUAUUUACCAAGAGAGGAUUCAUGUGGUGCCAGUGUUAGCCUCGGUGGGCCUCAGUGGCUCGGGGUUGCCUUGCUGGUGUGGCCAAAAGUGGGGAGACACUGAGGAACCAGCCUCUGUGAGAAGGCAAGUUCUGGAUUCAGUGGAGGUCUGGGCCAAAGACAACAAAGCAGGGAGGGAAGCUUAGAAGGUCAGGAACUAUAUAGAUCGCUAUCAGCCUGGGAGCUUCAGAUGGGUGGCCAGGCCACUGGAGCCUAAGACAAAGGGAUGAUCGUGUUGCUGCCCAUUCAAGGGGUGCCACCACAAGUGCCAUGCUACCUGUAUGGUGGUACCAGGCAUUCUCUGCCCCAUAGCUUACCUCGUCUAAAGGCUGCCAUUCUCAAGCCACAUGGGUGGUCUUGAAUUGAGCUGAACCCAGAAAAGAUGGUAGGGUCCCUCUUGGACUGGGAUCUCACUGCCCCACUGGAGGCACCAAGGCCCCACAGUAGGGGUGGGUCAUGGUCCAAUCUAAUGCCUGUAUCCUAUCUUUGGGAUGUGUACAGGACUGACUUGGGCAGUGCCCACAGGAAGAAGGUGUAUCUUGGAAGCACAGAGGGAACUCUGGGAUAGUGUGUGUAUGUAGCUUAGACCUAAGCACCCAGGCCUGGACAGUGAUCACUUGUUGUUAGGCCUAGGGACCUAUGGGGCCUCCCUGGGUGUGUAUGGUUCAAGCACUUCUCAUGCUAAUUCCCUGCCAUUUCUUGGUUGUCCAGCCCACGUCCCAGCCAGAACCUGAGUCCUGGGGUCGGGAGGGAGCAGUGAAGGAUGCUGGCCCAGCUACCAACAGGCCCAGCAGUUCUCUGGUAAGGUGGGCAGAGCUAGCCCAGUAUCAUCAUGCCUACAGAGUUAGUAUCCUGGAAGGACUCGCCAGAGCCAAUGAUGUCAAAGCACAAUCUUAUAACAGUGUACCCAGAAGUUUCCCCUGCUGUCUGUUCAUUCCCAGACCCUCUCUGUCCCACAGAUGGUAUCAACAGAGGAAGCCCCUUGGAUUCCAGUUACCUGAAUCCAAGGCUAUGGUCAAGGCCCCAAAGGCAAUGAACUGGUACUGCCAGUCAUGUUGGACAUGACAACGACCAGGACUGCCCAUGUGCGCUGUGCUUCCUGGCAGUUCACCCUCAUGGCACAAGUGCCAGUCCCACAGAUGUCACCAGUGGAAACCCUGCUAGGGUACCAGUGCCCAACAAAAGGACUGUGGUCAAGGGCCCUGUGGCCCAUGAGCUGGGGUGCCAGCCAUGUUGGAGAAGGAAACAUCCAUGACUGCCCAAGGUGAUGUCAGCAGAGGAAGCCACGUGAGGUCCAAACCCCAUGCAAUGGAUCUGUUCAGCGACUAGUGAUCCACCAGCUGGUGGUGUUAGUCAUUGGAAAUGGAAACUUCUAGGACUGCGCAAGGACCAUGCUUGGGACUCCUUCUUCACUUCCUUUAUCCCCUUCUGUCUUACUGUGAGAGGAGCUGCACAACAGGGCAUUUUUUGCCCAGUUUCCAGAUAAUGUCACCAAAGGGAGCCCCCUUGAGGUCCAGUGCCCCUGUGCAAGGGCUAUGGUCAAGGCCUCAGCAGCCCAUGAGCUGAUGGUGCCAGCCCUAUUGACAGAGGAAGCAUUCAGGACUGCCUAUGAUGUUACCAGAGGAAGCUCCUAUGGGGUCGAGUGCCCCAGGGACAAGGACUGUGGCCAAGGCCCCAGGGACCCAUGAGCUGCUGGUUCCCAGACCACUGAUGAAGGAAAUACACCACAAUCUCUGAGUGAAAUGAGCUGCCCAGUGGGUGACUCUCGAGUCCCAGGUCCCAGAUCAUAUCACCAGAGGAAGAACCAUUGGGUUCCAGUGUAUGGGGGCAAGGGCCAUGGUCAAGGCCCAAGCAGCCCAUGAGCUUAUUGUGCCAACCCUGUUGGACAAGCCAAUGAUCCAUACUGCCCAUUGAGAUGUACUGCCUGUCCGGUCACCCUUGUGUCCCAGGUUCCAGGGACAUCAUUCUGGGAAGACUCAUCUGGGCCAACAGUCAAAGAACACUCUGGAACCAGUACACCUUAGCCAUCACCUGCUCUCUGUUCACACCUGACCACCUUGCUAUCCUGCAGAGGAUAUCAGCAGAGGAUGCCACAUGGGGAACAGCCCCCAUGGCGAGAGUUGUGGUCAAGGCCCCAGCGGCCCACGAACUGAUGGUGUCAGCUAUGUUGGAGAAGGAAAUGUCCAGGACUGCCCAAGGUAAGCCAGUCCAUCCAGGCCCUAUCAGUGUGACAGCUGGCAGGAAUUCCCAUGGUGUGGUUCCUGAGGAUGGGUCGAUGAUGAGACCUCAUACUGUCUUGAAGAGAGAUGAUGACUUAAAAAUCAUGCUCAAUAGGAUUACGCUGAGGCCCAGCCUAGUGACAGUGGUACAAGAGGACCUUGGGGUAACCAGGUGCCUUCCAGGGGAGGAGACCCUGGGGACUGGAGACCUGGCAGCCACAAUGCCAAGACUGGGAAGGCUGCUCAUGCAGGAUGAAUCCAAGCUCCAUCUUCCUUGGAUUUUUUGUGUAAUCCCCACUGUCUGAGAUGUGGGUCCAGGCUUGAAGCUCCUUCCUCAGCUCUUUUUCAUCUCCUUCCCUCUGCCUUUCAAUGAGAGGAGCUGCACAGAUGGGUACCUUUUCACCGUGGGUUCCAGGUGAGUGUAUAGAGGGUGUCAGUGGGCCUGUGUGGGGCUGCAGGGGCUCUAGCCAGGUCACCUGAAGCAAACCUGAGGCAUAGACCCGUGGAGACACAACAAGGAAGACUCAGGCUGUGCUCCCGAGUGAGCUGUGCCCCUUAGGGCUCUGAGGUCCAGAAUGCCUUUCCUGAACCUCAGUCCAGGUGCAAGAUCAGAGUGAGGAAUGGAAAUGGCUCCUUGAGGAUGGUUCAUGGGGGGCCUGUACCCGACUUGUCCCAGUUGGGCUGCAGUUUCUCUGGGUUGCCUUGCAGGUAUGGCCAGAUGAGUGUAGACACUGGGGAUCAGACCUCUGUGAGGCAGUGGGACUCAGAUUCCAUAGAAGGCCUAGGCUAAGGACCACACUUCAGCACCGAGGGGUUGGUUUUCACUUGCCACAUGGGUGGUCUUCGGAUUGAGUUGAUCCCAACAAGGAUGCCAGAGGCACUCUUGGACCAGGCCCCUGUCCUCUACUGCAAGGCCCCGCAGCCCAUGGGCUGGUGGUACCAGCCACGUUCCCAGAGGAAACAUCCAGAACUGCCAGUGUGUGAUGAGCUAAACAAUGGAACUCCUCUGGACCAGGAGUUCUAGGUGAUGCCAUCAAAGGGAGGCCCUGUGGGUUCUACUGCCCCAGGGGCAAGGGCUAUGCUCAAAGCCCCAGUGGUCCAUGAGCUGCUGGCACCAGCAUUAUUGGAGAUGGAAACAUCCAGGACUAUCCAAGUGAGAUGUGCUGCACCGUGGGGCUCUGUUCAUCACAGGUCCCAGAUGAUGUCACCAAAGAAACCCCCUUGAGGUCUAGUGCCCCAGGUGCAAGGGCUGUGGUCAAGACCCCAGCAGCACAUGAGCAUGUGGUGCCAGCCCUGGUGACAGAGGAAAAAUUUGAUACCACCUGUGAUGACGUCAGCAGAGG